rnacentral:rRNA from 1 species
GUAUUGGCCUACCGUGGCAAUGACGGGUAACGGGGAAUUAGGGUUCGAUUCCGGAGAGGGAGCCUGAGAAACGGCUACCACAUCUAAGGAAGGCAGCAGGCGCGCAAAUUACCCAAUCCUAAUACAGGGAGGUAGUGACAAGAAAUAACAAUACAGGACUUUUUGGUUUUGUAAUUGGAAUGAGUUAAGUAUAAACCCCUUUACAAGUAUCAAUUGGAGGGCAAGUCUGGUGCCAGCAGCCGCGGUAAUUCCAGCUCCAAUAGCGUAUAUUAAAGUUGUUGCAGUUAAAAAGCUCGUAGUUGGAUUUCUGUUAAUAAUUUAUAUAAAAUAUUUUGAUGAAUAUUUAUAUAAUAUUAACAUAAUUCAUAUUACUAUAUAUUUUAGUAUAUGAAAUUUUACUUUGAGAAAAUUAGAGUGCUUAAAGCAGGCAUAUGCCUUGAAUACUCCAGCAUGGAAUAAUAUUAAAGAUUUUUAUCUUUUUUAUUGGUUCUAAGAUAAGAAUAAUGAUUAAUAGGGACAGUUGGGGGCAUUUGUAUUUAA